UCGAGCGGGCCCUUCGGGGUCAGCGGCGGACGGGUGAGUAACGCGUGGGAACGUGCCUUCUGGUUCGGAAUAACCCUGGGAAACUAGGGCUAAUACCGGAUACGCCCUUUUGGGGAAAGGUUUACUGCCGGAAGAUCGGCCCGCGUCUGAUUAGCUAGUUGGUGGGGUAACGGCCUACCAAGGCGACGAUCAGUAGCUGGUCUGAGAGGAU
rnacentral:rRNA from 1 species